AUUGAACGCUGGCGGCAGGCCUAACACAUGCAAGUCGAACGGUAACAGGAAGAAGCUUGCUUCUUUGCUGACGAGUGGCGGACGGGUGAGUAAUGUCUGGGAAACUGCCUGAUGGAGGGGGAUAACUACUGGAAACGGUAGCUAAUACCGCAUAACGUCGCAAGACCAAAGAGGGGGACCUUCGGGCCUCUUGCCAUCGGAUGUGCCCAGAUGGGAUUAGCUAGUAGGUGGGGUAACGGCUCACCUAGGCGACGAUCCCUAGCUGGUCUGAGAGGAUGACCAGCCACACUGGAACUGAGACACGGUCCAGACUCCUACGGGAGGCAGCAGUGGGGAAUAUUGCACAAUGGGCGCAAGCCUGAUGCAGCCAUGCCGCGUGUAUGAAGAAGGCCUUCGGGUUGUAAAGUACUUUCAGCGGGGAGGAAGGGAGUAAAGUCAAUACCUUUGCUCAUUGACGUUACCCGCAGAAGAAGCACCGACUAACUCCGUG
rnacentral:rRNA from 1 species